UCACAACACUUUCACACAAGACCAAUAUGACAUCACAAGAAUAACACCACAUUUUAUACUGACUGGCAAAUUCCUGGAUUCCCUAAUUUGCAACUCUUGAAAUGUUUGAACUAUUUCUGAACCGAACGUGGAAAACUGACCAAGAUGAGUGACGAAAAUUGGAUAGUUCACUUAAUAUGCUCCAGUACAAGGAACUAAGGAGAGAUACAAAAUGCAAACAACACAAUACCAAAGGAAUUGCCUAAAUUUUUAUGAACAACAACGAAAAUAGGCGGACCUGGAUGGCGUUUAGAGCCAGUUUUAAAUAAUGGUUAUCCUCGCUGAGAUGGUCUCUCGUAUCGACAUUUUACCAUCUGAAGCGUUUGCUUGGUGACGAUGCCACGGCCUACUUAUAACCCUGACAAAAACUACAGUUUCAUCAACUUGCAUAUCCCAUGGUCACCACCCGGCAGACCAGAUAAGUGGUCUGACUAAAUCAAAUAAACACGACAAAGGACAAACAAUAAUAACGCAUCUGCAUUGAACUGAUAAAGUAAGGUCACCGAAAUAUCAGAUAAUUUUCUAAAUUGAAAAAAGAAAUUUUUUCCAAAGGCCAAGCUUAACACUUCGAAGGAUGUACUUUGAUGAACCUAGGUCAAAAGAAUAUCAAAUCUGAGUCAAAACAAGAUAAAGGUUAACGAGACGUUUGGGCCAGCUAAAACUAUUACAAUUGAGCGAAUUAUGGCUUGCGCUGAUAAUGUUGAAGGGACUUUGAAUUGUGGAAAGUUCGUUUUAACAACUUCACCCUGAUUUAUACCGCAGGUUAACAUGGAUGAGAGCGGAGGAUCUACGCCGUCCGUCCGAUUUAACUUUCAUUUCAUAACUUUCAACGGAAAUCCCGACGGAACUCGGGGGUUUUCCUAUCGCAAAACUGGAACAGCCGAACGACGAGAAUCCAAAGGGGCCUCGCCUAUUGUACAAUUGUUUCAAUUUAAAAUGAAUUUUCUCUCUUUGUAACUGCUUCUCGACAUAUCUAGUACACAUUCAGAUAAAUAUGAUCAUUGAUGUUCAAACUCCAAGACGAUAUGGGACGUGAAAGCGUCUGUAUUAUAUAUAUUUUAUUUAUGGUUUGAAAAAUAAAUGUGU
rnacentral:lncRNA from 1 species